AUUGAACGCUGGCGGCAGGCUUAACACAUGCAAGUCGAGCGGAGAGAGGUAGCUUGCUACUGAUCUUAGCGGCGGACGGGUGAGUAAUGCUUAGGAAUCUGCCUAUUAGUGGGGGACAACAUUUCGAAAGGAAUGCUAAUACCGCAUAUGUCCUACGGGAGAAAGCAGGGGAUCUUCGGACCUUGCGCUAAUAGAUGAGCCUAAGUCGGAUUAGCUAGUUGGUGGGGUAAAGGCCUACCAAGGCGACGAUCUGUAGCGGGUCUGAGAGGAUGAUCCGCCACACUGGGACUGAGACACGGCCUAGACUCCUACGGGAGGCAGCAGUGGGGAAUAUUGGACAAUGGGCGCAAGCCUGAUCCAGCCAUGCCGCGUGUGUGAAGAAGGCCUUAUGGUUGUAAAGCACUUUAAGCGAGGAGGAGGCUACUUUAGAUAAUACCUAGAGAUAGUGGACGUUACUCGCAGAAUAAGCACCGGCUAACUCUGUGCCAGCAGCCGCCGUAAUAC
rnacentral:rRNA from 1 species